UGCGUGACUACCACUUCGAGAAAGCCAAUCUCAUUAAAUCUCAGAAGGUAAGCAGGUUUGGGCCUGGUUAGUACUUGGAUCAGUGACCUGGGACUACCAGGAGCCACAGCAG
rnacentral:rRNA from 1 species